rnacentral:rRNA from 1 species
AGUGAACGCUGGCGGUAGGCCUAACACAUGCAAGUCGAACGGCAGCACAGUAAGAGCUUGCUCUUACGGGUGGCGAGUGGCGGACGGGUGAGGAAUACAUCGGAAUCUACUUUUUCGUGGGGGAUAACGUAGGGAAACUUACGCUAAUACCGCAUACGACCUACGGGUGAAAGCAGGGGAUCUUCGGACCUUGCGCGAUUGAAUGAGCCGAUGUCGGAUUAGCUAGUUGGCGGGGUAAAGGUCCACCAAGGCGACGAUCCGUAGCUGGUCUGAGAGGAUGAUCAGCCACACUGGAACUGAGACACGGUCCAGACUCCUACGGGAGGCAGCAGUGGGGAAUAUUGGAUAAUGGGCGCAAGCCUGAUCCAGCCAUACCGCGUGGGUGAAGAAGGCCUUCGGGUUGUAAAGCCCUUUUGUUGGGAAAGAAAAGCAGCAGGUUAAUACCCCGCUGUUCUGACGGUACCCAAAGAAUAAGCACCGGCUAACUUCGUG